GUUGGGCGGGGCUGCCAGUCUCUCAGUUACCCUUCAGGCGUGGUCAAGGGGUGGGUGUUGCCGCUCCCCGUGGAGCACUGCGAGAAACGAGUGGCGAAAGAGACGUUGUAAGAAAAAAAAAUAGACCCUGAAAAAGAAAAAAAAAUGUUAGUGACGUAGGAAAGAAAGAGAAGGAAAGAACCAAAAUUGGGGAAAGAGAAAAAAAAAAGUGAAUUGAUGUGGACGAAAUACAGAAAUUAACAUAAACAAAGUGAAAAAAAGUGUGAAAAAUGUAGGAAAAUAGAGAAAAAAAGUAAAAAAAGAACAAAGACAAAGAAAACAAGAAUGAACGUAGAAAGCAAGUGAAACAGAAAUAAAGAAACUAGAAAGAAAAACAAAGAAGGAAAUGAAGUGAAAGAAAUGAAACUAUGCUAAAAGAACGUACAGAGAAAAAGGGAAAACUACGAAUCAGAGAGAAUAAUGUAAACGAAGGAACGAGGGAAGAGGCAAAAAAAAUAAUAA